rnacentral:rRNA from 1 species
GAUGAACGCUGGCGGCGUGCCUAAUACAUGCAAGUCGAGCGAACAGACGAGGGGCUUGCUCCUCUGACGUUAGCGGCGGACGGGUGAGUAAAACGUGGAUAACCUACCUAUAAGACUGGGAUAACUUCGGGAAACCGGAGCUCAAACCGGAUAAAAUAUUGAACCGCAUGGUUCAUUAGUGAAAGACGGUUUUGCGGUCACUUAUAGAUGGAUCCGCGCCGCAUUAGCUAGUUGGUAAGGUAACGGCUUACCAAGGCAACGAUGCGUAGCCGACCUGAGAGGGUGAUCGGCCCCCCUGGACCUGAGACGCGGUCCAGACUACUACGGGAGGCAGCGGUAGGGAAUCUAACGCAAUGGGAGGAAGCCUGACGGAGCAACGCCGCGUGAGUGAUGAAGGUCUUCGGAUCGGGAACCUCUGUUAUUAGGGAAGAACAAAUGUGUAAGUAACGAUGCACGUCUUGACGGUACCUAAUCAGAAAGCCACGGCUAACUACGUG